CAGCGUGUGUCUCUGCCCUAUUUUAUACAGAUUAAUGAACUUAUUUUCUCUAAAACCCACAGGAAACAAAUAUACCGAGCUCUGAAAAUUCUGCUCCUGUUAUUGAGGAAAGCCUGGAAACAAGGGAACUGGAAGAGAAAGUUUCCCUUGAUUUAGAAGAUAUUGAUUCUGAGAAAAGACUCAAGAGCAUCCAAGCAGUGGAACGUGCAGAGCAAAAGACAUAUUUUAAAGCCCAGUUGGAAAAGGCAAUUCGGGAAAACAAAAUUUUCUGGCUGGAGGAUGAAGAGCCUGUCAUCAAGAAAAGCCUGUUAAAAAGAGGAUGGAUAGAGAAAAUAGCCUAUAAUUAUGAUUCCGGACCAAGGGACAGUACAUUCCAUAAUCUAGAAAAAAUCAGCAAAACGGGGUUGAAGCUUUCUUAUAAUGUAAAGGCAACAUUUAUCUGGACAAGUGACGAGAUUCCCUACUUUGCUGUUCAUGACGAUCAGCUGAUGAAUUCAUAUGACAAUACAGACUGCUUUACAACCAAGAAUGGACUAAAUGAGCAUUUAAAGAAACUACAGAUGAUUAACGGUGUGAAUGCGGACACAUUCUUCCCACGCUGCUAUGACAUGUCAGAACCAAAGGAGGCAAAGUUAUUUUCAG